rnacentral:rRNA from 1 species
CCUACGGGUGGCAGCAGUGAGGAAUAUUGGUCAAUGGGCGCGAGCCUGAACCAGCCAAGUCGCGUGAGGGAAGACGGUCCUAUGGAUUGUAAACCUCUUUUGUCGGGGAGCAAAAGACGCCACGCGUGGCGUUCCGAGAGUACCCGACGAAAACGCAUCGGCAAACUCCGUGCCAGCAGCCGCGGUAAUACGGGGGAUGCGAGCGUUAUCCGCAUUUAUUGGGUUAAAGGGGUGCGCUGGCGGAAGAUCAAGUCAGCGGGAAAAUUGAGAGGCUCAACCUCUUCGAGCCGUUGAAACUGGUUUUCUUGAGUGAGCGAGAGGUAUGCGGAAUGCGUGGUGUAGCGGUGAAAUGCGUAGAUAUCACGCAGAACUCCGAUUGCGAAGGCAGCAUACCGGCGCUCAACUGACGCUCAUGCACGAAAGUGUGGGUAGCGAACAGGAUUAGAUACCCGAGUAGUC